rnacentral:rRNA from 1 species
UACGGGGGGGGCAAGUGUUGUUCGGAAUUACUGGGCGUAAAGGGCUCGUAGGCGGCCACCGCAAGUCGACUGUGAAAUCUCCGGGCUUAACCCGGAAAGGUCAGCCGAUACUGCGGGGCUAGAGUGCAGAAGGGGCAACUGGAAUUCUCGGUGUAGCGGUGAAAUGCGUAGAUAUCGAGAGGAACACCUGCGGCGAAGGCGGGUUGCUGGGCUGACACUGACGCUGAUGUGCGAAAGCUAGGGGAGCGAACGGG